UUGUUUCUAGUUUAUUUAGAAUUUUGGCUUGUCGUGCCAAGGGAGUAUACUUUGUUUACGAAGCAAG
rnacentral:tRNA from 1 species